UGUGUGUGUGUGUGUGUGUGUGUGUGUGUGCGUGCGUGCAUACCUGUUCCCGUGCCUGAUCUAUAAAGGAGCUACACUCCUCGAGGUACACAGUGAUGUCAGUGUCCGGGAGGUCCAGGAUCUGGAGCGUCUUAUAAACCAGCUGAUCUGGGAACAGGGUGUCGAUAUCGUGGGCCGCAUCCUGAGAGGCUGAAAAGGCAGGGACGACUUCAUGAGAAGACAGACAGGAGGGCUCAAAUGAUGCUUGCUGCAGGCUGACAUUUGAAUAUCUUUGGCUUUUAGACUGCUGGUUGAACAAAAGUGAUCUUAAAGAGUGACAGCAGCGGAACUUCAGCAGCGGAGGGCAAACGCUGCAGCACCUACAUCACUUCACAUGAAAACAGCAAACCCGCUCUGAACAGCUGCAACACAACAGAGGGAGGAUAUCAGUCAGCAGAAACCAACAGUAAAACAGCUAAGAGCCACAGAAAAAAUAAGAAAUCACAGAAUCAGAUACCAGGCUUAAAAACUGCUGAAAUAAACAGUCGGUGUUAUCUGCUGCUGCAGAGAGAGGAGUUCAUGGUUUUCAUGACAACAGCCUUCACAACAGUGAGAGUCUGACGGACUAGUGCAGCAGAGGAAGCAGGUUUAAGACUAAUGGAGGAAAUGAAAUGAAAAGGACCACACGGCGAGCCAACCUGAGCGAGAAAAGCUGUGAGGUCAAAGCACAGCAUAAGUAAGCUACAGAAGUGAACUGCACCCCAGAGCUGCGAGAGGCUUCAAUGUGAAGCUCAAGGACACUUCAGCAGGACGGACACAUGCUGACAUGUGAAGGUGUCACCCUGCGUCCUCCAGCUGAAGCCAGGGUACAUCACCGAGCUCCCAGAGACAACUUCAAAAUUAAUCACAUUGAUUUAUUCCUUAUAAUGAUUUUACUUAUUAUUCGCAACAAACC